UACGUAGGGGGCAAGCGUUGUCCGGAUUUAUUGGGCGUAAAGAGCGUGUAGGCGGCUAGAUAGGUCCGUUGUGAAAACUCGAGGCUCAACCUCGAGACGCCGAUGGAAACCAUCCAGCUAGAGUCCGGAAGAGGAGAGUGGAAUUUGUGGUGUAGCGGUGAAAUGCGCAGAUAUCACAAAGAACACCCGUGGCUAAGGCGGCUCUCUAGUACGGUACUGACGCUGAGACGCGAAAGCGUGGGGAGCGAACAGG
rnacentral:rRNA from 1 species